UGAUGAUGUAAUAAUGAAGACACCCUUCUCAAUUCCCUGAGCACACGGUGUUCCCUGGCUGGUAGCACACUCUGACGUUGAAACAGUUUCCAUGCAGAGCGCCCCCUCUCCGCCUCCCAGUGCCCCAGGUGCCUCAGGUGUAGAGGGACUGAAGAUUUUCGGGGGGCUAGCGGAAUGUCAGCACUACUACUAGUGCCCAUACGGCAGAAUGAACUGUUUCCAUGAAAACGGGGCCUAAGGAGUUGGCAUCCUUAUGACAGAACAGUAUUUUAAAAGUCAAGGAUGCCCUAAGAGCAUUUCAGAAAGAGAAGAUCACUUUGGGGUCCUCAAGAUGGCUCACUGGGUGAGGGCACAUCACCUCUAAGCAUGGCAACAGGGGUUCAGUGCCUGCACCCCACACUGAGGAAGGAGGAAACGGACUCCCUCAAAUCAUCAUCCGACCCCCACAUCUGAGCAAGAUCCGCCUCCCCCUCCAACACACGCAAUAAAUAAUUGUAAUUGGUGUCUGGAGAUCCAAACGCCUAUCUUCAUGCUGCUUCAGAAAAUGCUCACCUGUUGAGCUAUCUCCCCUGCCCUUGAAGACAUUUCAAGAUGCCAUUUAUGAAGGGCAGUUGAUCCUCUGUGUCUGUACAUAAAGGAAGAUGCUGUGGUCGAGCAGGGCAUGCAGAGAUGAAGAUACCACUUCAAGUUCACAUGUCCAGAGGCUAGACGAAUCAGAUCCUGGCAACCAGAGUUACAGACAGCCGUGAACUACCAUCUGGGUGCUAGA
rnacentral:lncRNA from 1 species